CAAGUCGAACGGAAAGGCCCCUUCGGGGGUACUCGAGUGGCGAACGGGUGAGUAACACGUGGGCAAUCUGCCCUGCACUUCGGGAUAAGCCUGGGAAACUGGGUCUAAUACCGGAUAGGACCUUUAGGCGCAUGUCUUUAGGUGGAAAGCUUUUGCGGUGUGGGAUGGGCCCGCGGCCUAUCAGCUUGUUGGUGGGGUGAUGGCCUACCAACGCGACGACAGGUAGCCGGCCUGAGAGGGUGUCCGGCCACACUGGGACUGAGAUACGGCCCAGACUCCUACGGGAGGCAACAGUGGGGAAUAUUGCACAAUGGGCGCAAGCCUGAUGCAGCGACGCCGCGUGGGGGAUGACAGCCUUCGGGUUGUAAACCUCUUUCACCAUCGACGAAAGUCCGGGUUUUCUCGGAUUGACGGUAGGUGGAGAAGAAGCACCGGCCAACUACGUGCCAGCAGCCGCGGUAAUACGUAGGGUGCGAGCGUUGUCCGGAAUUACUGGGCGUAAAGAGCUCGUAGGUGGUUUGUCGCGUUGUUCGUGAAAUCUCACGGCUUAACUGUGAGCGUGCGGGCGAUACGGGCAGACUAGAGUACUUCAGGGGAGACUGGAAUUCCUGGUGUAGCGGUGGAAUGCGCAGAUAUCAGGAGGAACACCGGUGGCGAAGGCGGGUCUCUGGGCAGUAACUGACGCUGAGGAGCGAAAGCGUGGGGAGCGAAC
rnacentral:rRNA from 1 species